rnacentral:rRNA from 1 species
UACGGGGGGGCAAGCGUUGUUCGGAAUUACUGGGCGUAAAGCGUGCGCAGGCGGUUAUGUAAGACAGAUGUGAAAUGCCCGGGCUUAACCUGGGAACUGCAUUUGUGACUGCAUGGCUAGAGUUUGGCAGAGGGGGGUAGAAUUCCAGGUGUAGCGGUGAAAUGCGUAGAUAUCUGGAGGAAUACCGGUGGCGAGGGCGGCAUCCUGGACCGGCAUUGACGCGUGAGGAGCGAAAAGCUGAGGGGAGCAAACGGG